rnacentral:lncRNA from 1 species
AAAAAAGGAAGACGCUUCCUGAAGUUGGGGAUGCUGGACUAGUUUUCAUACUAGAUCCCCUCGUGGCAGCAUUAAGGAACUUCACAUUCUUCUCACACUAUUCAUGGAAAGUUCCUGGAACUCCCACAGCAGCAAGAAAACUUCGCUUGUAGGAGUCCUUAGCACAUCUGUAAAGUUUUAUUGGCCAAAAUGUGAUACAUCUCCAUUUCUGGAUCAGUCACUGUGGUCAAGUGCAAGACGCUCUACAGGACUCAACCUGGGGAUGAGGUCUGUCUACUCCAUCCAUAUGGUCACUUUAUACUGAGGUUGGGUAAGUACUCCUAAGGAAAUCAGGUUUGUUUUGGUUGGAAAAAAAAAAUGGAAAUGGAUGCUGAGGUAACAGCCAACAAAUAUCUACUAUUUUCUAAGAUGUGUUUGAAACUAAUGCAAAAAAGCUCUGAGAUUAAGAUGUGUAUGUAGCUCAUCAGUUUAGUUGUAUUUCCUAUAUAUAAUAUUUAUGGUACCUAAACUAUUACUAAGAUGUUUAUUAUUUUAUUUAAAAUUUGGUUGAGGUUUUCUAUAUCAUCCUAAACCUAAGUUUGGAAAUAAAGAUUUAAUGCUAUAUGACAGGUACAAUUGCUAUCUUUUAGUGAAAAGUCCUAAAAAUCUUAUGGUUGAGAAUACAAUAUUUACUUUCUGGAAGCUCUGCUCACAAACUUUCUGGACAAAGAGCAUUAUCCACAAUCACUGCUAACUAAAAGGAUAGAGAAACUUUUCUUAGGCUUUCCUCCAGGAUUG